rnacentral:misc_RNA from 1 species
GAUGAAGAACGUAGCGAAAUGCGAUACGUAAUGUGAAUUGCAGAAUUCAGUGAAUCAUCGAAUCUUUGAACGCAUAUUGCGCUCUUUGGUAUUCCGAAGAGCAUGCUUGUUUGAGUAUCAGUAAACACCUCAAAGCUUUUGGAUUUUUUAAUCGAAAAGCUUUGGACUUGAGCAAUCCCAACACCAAUCUUUUUGAGAUCGGUGGCGGGUUGCUUGAAAUGCAGGUGCAGCUGGACAUUCUCCUGAGCUAAAAGCAUAUUCAUUUAGUCCCGUCAAACGGAUUAUUACUUUUGCUGCAGCUAACAUAACGGGAGUUUGACCGUAUUGGCUGACUGAUGCAGGAUUUCACAAGGGUCGGCAACGAUUCUUGUUAAACUCGAUCUCAAAUCAAGUAAGACUACCCGCUGAACUUAAGCAUAUCAAUAAGCGGAGGA